UACAGAGGUGGCAAGCGUUGUUCGGAAUUACUGGGCGUAAAGGGCGCGUAGGCGGCCCGUCAAGUCCCGUGUGAAAGCCCCCGGCUCAACCGGGGAACGGCGCGGGAAACUAGCAGGCUUGAGUUCGGGAGAGGGAAGUGGAAUUCCUGGUGUAGCGGUGGAAUGCGCAGAUAUCAGGAGGAACACCAAUAGCGAAGGCAGCUCGCUGGGACGGUACUGACGCUAAGGCGCGAAAGCGUGGGGAGCAAACAGG
rnacentral:rRNA from 1 species